AGAGCUUGAGACAGUCAGUGGGAUAAACAUCGACUUACCAGGAGGAAAUGCGCUGUUCUUUGCGAGUGGCCAUGACUUGAAGGGGGUGUCACAGAAAUCAGUUUUAUGGCAACAUGAAGUCAUCGUCCCUGGUUUGACUGAGCUCCUUCAGAGACACUGAGGACACGUUGCUCUGCAGUUUUCACUUUCAAGACAAAUGAAGUGACCAAC